UAAUAAUAAUACUAAAAUAAAAAAUAAAAUAAAACAAAACAAAAGAAAUGGUUUCUCUGGAGAGUAACUUUCCUUGACACUGAGGUCGCUCACAGUCAUUUCUCCCAGGGGUCCUCUCUUAGGGGUCACAGACUGGGAAUAAGUGGAGAGCAGUUCCUUGUUGCACUAGACUGUGCUUCUUAUACUGACUCCCAGUGGAAGGCAUUGGGAGGAGCGCAAUGCAUGUGCCUGUCUUGGGUCCUGGUACAUAGAGGGUGCUCUCUCUGAUGGGCCACUUAUGGUAUUGGGGUGAUUGUCUCCUUGCAGGAGAAGGGCUGGAAUCUAAUACAGCUUUUAUCCCACAGCUUUCCUCUGUGGCUUGAUUUCACCUUCUGCCAAUCCAACCUGCUCCUCUCUCUUUGCUAGUCUGAAGCUUCUGUCAGGGGUGCCUCUUGGUGGCUCUGAGAUGGAGAUGAGGCAGACAGAUCGGGCUGUUCUCAGGAAGCCCAAAUCCUCCUCCUGGAACUCUGCAUAGUUGGCUCAGUGACAUUUCAUCUCUCUGGGUUCUGUCCCAGGGAGAAAACAUGUGGGCAUUCUCUAAUAACUUGAGCAUAGCUCCCUCCUGCCUUCCUUUGUUUUUCCUUCCUGGGCAAAUGAAAGGCAGUAUGAAUGAAAGUUUCUAUUCUGAUGGGAAAACUCACUCUGGCCUUGUAAUGAGCUAGAAUAAUUGAUUUGUCGAUGAAAACCGAGUCUGUGGAAUUGAUGCUUAGUGUCAAAACAGUCCAGAUCACUUUGGUACCAAUUCAUUGUCGCUGGAGGGAAGCUGUUAGCCAGGAGCCCAGUGAGAAAGGAGUAGGCUGAGUUGAAACAUGAAAAGAUUUGAUUGUGCUAAAGCUCUCCAGCACAGAAUUGCCCUGUUGGGAUCUGAUUUCAGUGCUCCAGAUCGAAGGUCCCGGCUAAUAUUUUCUUUCUUUCCUUUCUCAUGAGGGUAGAAAUAACUUGGCAAUUGCCCCAUUGCAGCUACUGUUUGAACGUGGAUAUUAAUUUAAUCUGGAGUUCUGUUACUCUUUAAAUAUUUAGGGGUUUGGCUGAGGCCUUUGUGCUCUUACAAUGCAAUAGACAGUAAAAAUGGAGUUGGAAUGUUUCUACUCAUUUUAGAAAGGGCAGGGAUUCUUGGCCCCCUUUCCCGCACACCCUGCCCCACCCCAUUUUCAUUCCUUCAUCUUCUGACUGCAGCUCCUGAUGAAAAUCAAAAGUUAUUUCGACAUAUAUGGACAGAUGCCAUGGGGUGGAGGAGAAAGAGAGUAUACUUUAGAAUCAGACGGAUCCACAAGGGAAUGUUCUAAUCCUGGCUCCUUCACCAUGAGCUGUGCAAAUUUGGGAAUCUGGCCGAACUCCAGGGCUGCCUAUCAUGAGCAGCCUUGUUUGCUUGCAAUUUGCAGAGUUGCAAGGGGUAAAGGACUGGCUUUGACUAUUCAAUCUUUCAGUCGCUGGAAAGGCAGCAGAGAGGGCAUGGGGACAGACACGCCUGGAUGAGGAACUCCAGCUCCACCUACUUAACAGCUGUGUGAUCUUGGAUGUGCCAUUUAUUCUCUUGCCUCAGUUCGUUCAUCUGUGAAGUGGAGCAAGCAUCACAUCCCUGGUGGUUGUGAAGAUUAACCAUGAUCAUGUUGCAUCACAUCUUGCCUGGAUGACUGCAGUAGCCACUAAGCUGGUCGCAGAGUGAGCUUUCUUAAAUGCAAAUGUAAGGAUGGCAGAGCCUCAAGUGCUUCAGUUUCUCCAAGUGCCUAUUCCCUGAGUGGCAUGACACUGAAGGCCCUCUGAGUCUGCAGCUAUCUUUCCACUCUCAUUGGUGUGUGCACCUGGAGCUGUCACUUUUUCAAUAAUGCAUUUCUGACUCCCUCAUCAACAAAGGUAUUUACUCCUUCCUCUUUGCUGCCAGUAAACCACUGAGAACAUGCCUUCCUUUGGUAUUUCAAUGGCAUUUGUAAUUAUGUGUCUUUCCCUGUCUUCCUCACUGAUCUGUGAACUCCAGCACGCAGGAAACUUGUCUUAUUCUCUUUCACAUCAAACAGGGUCUGGCCCUAAUAAGUACUAAAGAAAUGUUUGCUGAAUGAAUAAACACUAAUAUUUCUUGAGCUCUUCUUGCUUUUUCUCAAUACUAUCUCUUAGAAUCCUCACAAGAGCCUUGUGGCAUAGACACUGUUCUAUCCCCACUUUAUAGAUUUGGCAGCUGAUGGCACAGAGAAGUUAAGUCACUUGCCUAAGGUCACAGAACUUGACAGGAUUUGAACCCUGGCCUGGCAGUUAGGCUUUAUGGUAUAUAUCAAACUCUAACUCCCAUGAUAAUAAUGAGCAAAUGAAUGAAUGAAUGAAUGAAUGCAGUGAGUUUGCAUGAACUGAAGAUAGGAAAAGGAAAUGCUACAUGACUUUAUCAAACCCAUUGGUAGGGUUUAUAAAAGAAAAACACAAAGAUUCCAGGAGACCUGGCAGAGAUGGAAACUAUGGAGGAUCAACAUCCCGCAGAGUUCAGGCAGUUUAAAGCAAGUGGAAAAUCAGACCCUCUUAUGAAUUGCUGGGAGUGCUCAAAGAAGAAGCCAUAGGGCUGGGCACGGUGGCUCAUGCCUGUAAUCCCAGCACU